GCAGGUACUCUAAUAAAGCACCCUGAGCUUCUUUCUGCCUGCAAGAGAUACUUUAGCCGAUAAAUAAUCCAUAGUUUGACCAUUUUCAGAUUCAACUACUCUUUUCCUACCAUAGAAUCUAGGGUUUUGGCUAAUGUGGCAUGCUCCAUUUGCCCAAAGAGUGAUCUUUGAUGAUCCAAGGUUGUUCUCCAUUAAAUUAAAACAAACCCAUUUGAGAAUAGAUGGUAAUUUAUAUUUCUGAAAAUGGGUCAUGACUACUUUGGUUAAAUUUGCAGAGUAUUAUUAAAUAGAGAACAAAGGGGACACUUUCUGAGCUUUUUAGUUUAUAUUUAUAUCUAGAAGCUCCUUAAUU
rnacentral:lncRNA from 1 species